GACGAACGCUGGCGGCGUGCUUAACACAUGCAAGUCGAACGGAAAGGCCCUGCUUUUGUGGGGUGCUCGAGUGGCGAACGGGUGAGUAACACGUGAGUAACCUGCCCUUGACUUUGGGAUAACUUCAGGAAACUGGGGCUAAUACCGGAUAGGAGCUCCUGCUGCAUGGUGGGGGUUGGAAAGUUUCGGCGGUUGGGGAUGGACUCGCGGCUUAUCAGCUUGUUGGUGGGGUAGUGGCUUACCAAGGCUUUGACGGGUAGCCGGCCUGAGAGGGUGACCGGCCACAUUGGGACUGGGAUACGGCCGAGACGACUACGGGAGGCAGCAGUGGGGAAUAUUGCACAAGGGGCGGAAGCCUGAUGCAGCAACGCGGCGUGCGGGAUGCCGGCCUUCGGGUUGUAAACCGCUUUCGCUUGGAACGAAGCGUAGGUAACGGAAAUGGGUAAAGAAGCACCGGCUAAUUACGU
rnacentral:rRNA from 1 species